rnacentral:sRNA from 1 species
GCUUCGACUAAGGUUCGACUCGAGCGAAGCGAGAGAACGUUGCCGCUGGCAAUGGCCCGAAGGCGAGGCGCUUUAGCGCCGAGUAAUCCUUCCCCCACCACUG